rnacentral:lncRNA from 1 species
GGGGGGGGGGGGGGGGGGGGGGGGGGGGGGGGGGGGGGGGGGGGGGGGGGGGGGGGGGGGGGGGGGGGGGGGGGGGGCCCCGCUGCCACCCACCCGCUCGUCACCCCAGGUAAGGGGCUGCUCUGGGGCAGGGGACACCCCUGGGUGCUGGGGGAGUCACGGGCUAUUCACUCUGAAACCCAGUGAUGGCUCUCACUGGUGUGUCCUGUGCGUUAUCACCUGCCUGAGCAGUGGGUCCAUCCCCUCACUGGCAGGGGCCCUGCCUGGGAGGGUCUAAGCACCCAUAGGAUUCCAGGGUCCUGUGGGAUGCAGGAGGCUGGGGCAGUGAGACUGUGGGACUCCAUGGACUGCUGGAGCCUGGGAUGCUGCACUGGCACGGCUCCCAAAACUGGGGACCCCCCUCAGGACAGCCUGAGUGCAGCUUCCCACAUCAGCAGCGGGAGCUGGCAAAGCUGAUUGUCCGAGGGCACCAGAGGGAACAGAUACAGUGAGCAGCAGCCUCCUGGAGGGGGAUCCUGGGGGUGGGUCCCUUGGGGCCGAGGUGCUGGUGAUGAGGGGGGAUCUCUGUCCCCCUUGCUGUCCCCGCAGCCUAUGCCCCGCUGCAGUCCCCCCAGUUCCUGCAGCAGCCGCUGAAGCCGAUGCAGCCGCAGCCUCCGCCGCAGCAGCAGCAGCAGCAGUUUGUCAUCCAGCAGCAGCAGCAGCAGCAGCAGCAGCUGGGCCCCCGUGGGCAGCCCCCCUCGGGCCCCCCCUCUGCCCCCCAGCUCCAGCCCGGGGGGGGGGGGGGGGGGGGGGGGGGGGGGGGGGGGGGGGGGGGGCCCCCCUCUGCCCCCCAGCUCCAGCCCCUGCCCCCUGCCAGCCCUGGCCCAGCCCCUCAGCCCAAAACCGGGGUCCCCCAGGGAGCGGGGGGCGAGGGCGGCCCCCUCAAUGGGCACCCUGGCUGCCACGCUGCCCCCCGCAAGUUCCAGCACGCCUCGGCUGUCAUCCUGCAACUGCAGCCCGCCGGCCCCAUGCCCUCCCUCGGGGUCCCCGAGGGCGGGGGGGGGGGGGGGGGGGGGGGGGGGGGGGGGGGGGGGGGGGGGGGGGGGGGGGGGGGGGGGGGGGGGGGGGGGGGCCCCGCCGCAGCCCCCCGCCCUCUCGCCGCCCGUCGCCCCCUCGGGCCCCGACACCCCCGAGGGGGAGCGGCCCCUCACGCACGGUAAGCCCCCGCCCCGUUCCCGCAGGGACCCGCUGAUGGGGUGAGGCACUCCCAAGCCCCCCAAAGCAACAGGGGGAUGUUGAGGUCGGGGCUGCGCGGGGCCGGGCUGUGCUGCGGGAAGGUCCCUCGGCCCACGCGUGCCCAUGGCGUCACCCACGGUUGAUGCGGGGCUGCGGGCGCCUCGGCGAAACACGCGGAGGGCGGGGGCGUGACCACGCCCCAUUCUGUAGGCACGGCUCUGGUGCGAGGGCUGGGGAGGCGUGGCCACGCCUGGAGCUCCGCCCCAGCCGCGUGAGGGAGCGCAACCGGGGGGGGGGGGGGGGGGGGGGGGGGGGGGGGGGGGGGGGGGGGGGGGGGGGGGGGGGGGGGGGGGGGGGGGG